rnacentral:rRNA from 1 species
AAAAACAGAUAAGGGCAGACGGUGGAUGCCUUGGCUCUCGGAGGCGACGAAGGACGUGAUAAGCUGCGAUAAGCUACGGGGAUCGGCACAUACGAUUUGAUCCGUAGAUUUCCGAAUGGGGCAACCCGGCAUGUAGAAGACAUGUCACACUGCAGAGCAGUGAGCGAACGUGGGGAACUGAAACAUCUAAGUACCCAUAGGAGAAGAAAACAAAAGUGAUUCCCUUAGUAGUGGCGAGCGAACGGGGACUAGCCCAAACCAGAUUUGUUUCGGCAAAACUGGGGUUGUAGGACCUCGAUAUAGGAAGACAAGAUUAGGAGAACGGUCUGGAAAGGCCGGCCAUAGAACAUGACAGCUGUGUAUCCGAAAAUCUUCGUUGGACUUAGAGGUAUCCUGAGUAGCGCGGGACACGUGAAAUCCUGUGUGAAUCUGCGGGGCCCAUCCCGUAAGGCUAAAUACUCCCGAGAGACCGAUAGUGAACCAGUACCGUGAGGGAAAGGUGAAAAGAACCUCGAACAGAGGAGUGCAAUAGACCCUGAACCCGUCUGCCUACAAGCGGUAGGAGCAGCUUUCGAGCUGUGACUGCGUGCCUUUUGCAUAAUGAACCUACGAGUUACUUUCUCUGGCAAGGUUAAGUGAUGAAGAGUCACGUGAGCCGAAGCGAAAGCGAGUCUGAAUAGGGCGCUUUAGUCAGAGGGAGUAGACGCGAAACCAAGUGAUCUACCCUUGGUCAGGUUGAAGGUUGGGUAAAACCAACUGGAGGACCGCACCGGUAAGCGUUGAAAAGCUUUCGGAUGAACUGAGGGUAGGGGUGAAAGGCUAAUCAAACUUGGAGAUAGCUCGUACUCCCCGAAAUGCAUUUAGGUGCAGCCUGUGGAGUUUCUUACGUGAGGUAGAGCGACUGAUUGGAUGCGAGGCUUUCACCGGCUAUCAAGUCCAGACAAACUCCGAAUGCACGUUAAGUAAGAUCCACGGAGUGAGGGCAUGGGUGCUAAGGUCCAUGUCCGAGAGGAGAAGAAUCCAGACCAUCGGCUAAGGUCCCGAAAUAAUAGCUAAGUUGACCAAACGAAGUCAGAGUGCGAAGACAGCUAGGAUGUUGGCUUGGAAGCAGCCAUUCAUUUAAAGAGUGCGUAACAGCUCACUAGUCGAGUGCUUUGGCGUGGAUAAUAAUCGGGCAUAAGCUAUUUACCGAAGCUGUGGGAUGUGUAAACAUCGGUAGGGGAGCAUUCCAGCGACGUAGAAGGUAAGAGGACAACUCUUGCUGGAGUUUCUGGAAAAGCAAAUGUAGGUAUAAGUAACGAUAAAGGAGGUGAGAAACCUCCUCGCCGAAAGACUAAGGUUUCCUGAUCAACGCUAAUCGGAUCAGGGUUAGUCGGGGCCUAAGGGGCAGCCGAACGGCGUACCCGAUGGAAGAACCGGUUAAUAUUCCGGUACUAAUUAUGUGAGCGAUGUGGAGACGGAGAUGUGACGGUCCUGCCAACUGACGGAAUAGUUGGUUGAAGGGUGUAGGAGUUGAUCUGAGUAGGCAAAUCCGCUCGGAGAUCCGAACCUGACAGUACUCUGAGUGCUUGCACAAGGAGAUAUGGACAACUGUAACGGUGCUCCCAAGAAAAUCCGCUAAGCAUAUUGCAUGAUUACCCGUACCAUAAACCGACACAGGUGGUUGGGUUGAGUAUACUAAGGCGCUCGAGUGAUUCGCGGUUAAGGAACUAGGCAAAAUAGUCCUGUAACUUCGGAAUAAAGGACGCUCACAGUGAAGGCUGUGAGCCGCAGAGAAUAGGCCCAGGCGACUGUUUAACAAAAACACAUGGCUAUGCUAAAUCGAAAGAUACUGUAUAUAGCCUGACACCUGCCCGGUGCUGGAAGGUUAAGAGGAGAUGUCAUCGCAAGAGAAGCAUUGAAUUGAAGCCCCAGUAAACGGCGGCCGUAACUAUAACGGUCCUAAGGUAGCGAAAUUCCUUGUCGGGU